GCCUGAUGCAGCGACGCCGCGUGUGUGAUGAAGGCCUUAGGGUCGUAAAGCACUUUCGCCAGAGAUGAUAAUGACAGUAUCUGGUAAAGAAACCCCGGCUAACUCCGUGCCAGCAGCCGCGGUAAUA
rnacentral:rRNA from 1 species